CCAAUUUUUAAACAUUGUCCAACAGUUUACUGUCCGACCCCGUUUUUUUCAUUCUCUGUCAUUCUUUUCACAUCUUCACACUUCUCUCUCCAAGUUUUUCGGUUCUUCUUUCUCAUUUCCGUCAAACCCUAGCACGCCGCCGCCCCUUUCUCCUCUUUUUUGCUUUUUUGUUUUUCUUUCUUCAAUGUUCAUGUUCAAUAUUGAUGUUAAUGACUGGUGUUUUGCUUUCUCUGUGUAGUGUGUAUUACUCUUCCAAAUGGUUUCAUGUUUCUAUGGUUCUUUUCUGAUUUUAAUAUAUUGCAACAGAUUUUAACAUUUCUUCGGGUUUUGCAGAUUGUAUGUGUUGAUCAGGGCUCCACCAAAGAUCCCACAUGUGCAUAUUCCAUGAUGGAUUUCCUUCUGGAAGGAAUUUAAAAAAGUUUCUCUCGGUUAUUGCUGGAUUGUUGGUUUUGUCUAUUUUUGGGAGUUGGGCCAACUUCUUGAAACUGUUCUAUAUAGUUUUUUCCGGAUUGCUGUGUACAAAUCACUCUAUAUGCUAUUUGGAGGAUUUGUUGCAGAUGUAGUUGCUGCAAUUGAUCAGAGUUCUUGCUCUCCUCAUCAUGACUCAUGAUCGGAUUGUUGAAAUCAGUCCCCCAAUAUUCAAUCAAGUGAGGAUUUACUUUUGUGCUUAUGAAAUUAUAAUGUUGACUUCUUAUGAAGUUUUAUCUUUUAUUUUUUUCUGCUCCUUUAAUAGGUUUGCUUGAUAGUUCUAUGAGACGAUAAAUUAUGCUGUUGGUUUUUUAUUUAACCUUUCUGCUAAAUGUCUGUAGUGCAUCUAAAAUAUGUAAUAUAUUAAUUAGUGAUUGCUUCAUGGUUUCUAAACUCUCCAUAAGGUUUGUAUUUUGAUGAUGUUGAUUGGGCUUUUUCCCCUUACAUUGAGGUAAUUUAUUCCUCAUCAGCAAAUGAAUAAAACAACGGGUACAUGUUCCCUGCAGAAUAGUUUGAAUUAUAUACAAAGCUAUGGGUUUGUCUUUUCAGUUGUUUUUAAGUCCAACUUCUUAUCUUAAUGAAUCACAUAUGUCUAAUGAAAAUGCCUCUGUUUACUGAUAUCUUCUUUUUGUUCAAAUGGCAGGAGAGUAUGAACUAAGGCUUAUUUAAGGUCCUCUAUCUAUUUUUGGUGAUUGUGUAUCACAUUCUCAAUGAUCAGUGACUUCAAACAUUUGGAUGAGGUCUCGGACUCUUUAGAGAAGUUAAAAUUUGCUUGGCCAAAUAUCUAUCUCUUCAAGAUAAUCAUUUCGGCAACAGAUUGUAAGUUGCUCGCUGUCUAUAAAGUUCACACCAAGAAUUCACAAACGAGCCUGCACCUCGUGUUGACAGAGUGAAGAUGACAUUUUCAGGGCUUCCUUAAUCUGCAACAUGGACGUUGAUUGCAGAAAAUUUUUGGUCUGCAAACCUGACUUAGAUUGCAGAAAACUUAUGUUUACUUCUGUUUUACCAUUUUAUUUACUUCUGAAAUGUAAAAGUUUGUGUUUUAAGUGUGUCUUCAAGAUAAUUUUAAAGCCUUUGAAUUUUAUAAUUGAUGGGCUCACCUUUGUGCUACAUAUUUCUCAUUUGAUGCCAUAUAGAAGUAGUGUUACGACCUAAUGAUAUGCUCAAGGCUCUUUUGUUUAUAACCUGUAUAAUUUUAAAUGUUGACUCAGUAUCUAUAUAAUAUAUUAAAAAGUUGUUUUUGGAUUAUUUAUAAAUAUAUUUUAAAUAAAUUAAAUAUAUUAAAAAGUUGUUUAUUGACUCAGUAUAUGCAUGAUUUAAAUAUAUUUUUUAAUUUUGUGCAAGAUUUUUAUUGAUUAUAAAUAUAUUAAAAGAGGUUGAUAGAUACAGUUGAUUAUACUGUUGGGUUACAAUUAUAUUUUUUGAAAUAUUUCAUUUCAUUCAAAAGACAAAUUAUUUUAACCAUUUUAUUAUAAACUGUAAACAUAACAUUGUGAUAUUAUUAUUAUUUAAUAUAAUUUAUAAAAUAUAUAAUAUUUUGUAUUUUAUUUCAUUUAAUAUUUUAUAAACUCAUGUCAUUAUUAGCGUAAUACUA